UACGUAGGGGGCAAGCGUUGUCCGGAUUUAUUGGGCGUAAAGAGCGUGUAGGCGGCCAGGUAGGUCUGCUGUGAAAACUCGAGGCUCAACCUCGAGAUGUCAUCGGAAACCAUCUGGCUAGAGUCCGGAAGAGGAGAGUGGAAUUCCUGGUGUAGCGGUGAAAUGCGCAGAUAUCAGGAAGAACACCAAUGGCGAAAGCAGCUCUCUGGGACGGUACUGACGCUGAGACGCGAAAGCGUGGGGAGCGAGCAGG
rnacentral:rRNA from 1 species